AUACUUACCUGGCAGGGGGGACACCAUGAGCACAGAGGUGGUUUUCCCAGGGCGAGGCUUAUCCGUUGCACUCCAGAUGUGCUGACCCCUGCUGUUUUCCCAAAUGUGGGAAACUCGACUGAAUAAUAUGUGGUAGUGGGGGACUGUGUUUACCCUCUCCUCAU